GGGGAUUUGGUCUAGUAGUAUGAUAUCCGGCUCCAGACCGGACGGUCAAGGGUUCAAUUCCCUUAGUCCCCA
rnacentral:tRNA from 1 species